rnacentral:lncRNA from 1 species
UCUGAGGCGCCCCGGGCGGGCGUUCAGCGGGGCCACGGCCAUUGCGGCUGAGCCCCUGGCGAGGCGGCCGAGUACCUGCAGGCGCUGGCCCGCAUCGUCGCGGGGCAUCAGGGAGCUGGAGCCGCUAGCACGCCGACCUGCUGGAGCGCGCCGGCGACACCUGGCCAUGUGCGCCGGCUCGCAGCCACUCGGGGUCAUCCCGGAGCUUGGCGGCCGCCGUGACAAGUGUCAGUCUGGCCCCCAUCGAAGUACAACUUUGCCAUGGAUGUGCUUGGCCGGGUGAAAGGCCAAGCUGGACUGAGGGUCGUGAUCAAGGCUCUGGACCCCACAGCUGGGCAGCUGCAUGGCCUCGCCAAGGAGCUCUCUGGCCAGAUCCAGAUCCAGGCGUUUGACAAGCCGCUGCUCCUCGACCCUGGAAUAGAGGCAGAACCAAUCUUAAUGUCACCCAACUCAUUUCUGAGGCUCCAGAUGAACAGCGCCCCACGCCAGUGGCUCGCACCCCUUUCUGAGCGAGGCCCAUUCUUACCCGACUGA